GAUGAACGCUAGCGGCAGGCCUAACACAUGCAAGUCGAGGGAGAAGCCCUUCGGGGCAGAAACCGGCGCACGGGUGCGUAACGCGUAUGCAACCUACCUUUCACAGGGGGAUAGCCCGAAGAAAUUUGGAUUAAUACCCCAUAAUAUUAUUGGAUGGCAUCAUUUGAUAAUUAAAAUUACGAUGGUGAAAGAUGGGCAUGCGUCCUAUUAGCUAGUUGGAGUGGUAACGGCACCCCAAGGCUACGAUAGGUAGGGGUCCUGAGAGGGAGAUCCCCCACACUGGUACUGAGACAGGGACCAGACUCCUACGGGAGGCAGCAGUGAGGAAUAUUGGUCAAUGGUCGGAAGACUGAACCAGCCAUGCCGCGUGCAGGAAGAAUGCCUUA
rnacentral:rRNA from 1 species